CCUACGGGAGUCAGCAGUAGGGAAUCUUUCACAAUGGGCGAAAGCCUGAUGGAGCAACGCCGCGUGCAGGAUGCAGGCCUUCGGGUUGUAAACUGCUUUUAUAAGCGCGAAAUAUGAUGGUAACUUAUGAAUAAGGAUCGGCUAACUACGUGCCAGCAGCCGCGGUCAUACGUAGGAUCCGAGCAUUAUCCGGAGUGACUGGGUGUAAAGAGUUGCGUAGGUGGCAUAAUAAGUAGCUAGUGAAAUCUGGUGGCUCAACCAUUCAGACUAUUAGCUAAACUGUUAAGCUCGAGACCGUUAGGGGUAACUGGAAGUUCUAGUGUAGGAGUGAAAUCCGUAGAUAGUAGAAGGAACACCAAUAGCGUAGGCAGGUUGCUGGGACGGUUCUGACACUAAGGCACGAAAGCGUAGGGAGCAAACGGGAUUAGAUACCCGAGUAGUC
rnacentral:rRNA from 1 species